GCAUUGUUGGUUCAUUGGUAGAAUUCUUGUCUUCCAUGCAGGAGAUCCUAGUUCAAUUCCUGGUCAUGUGCA
rnacentral:tRNA from 1 species